AACCUUAUGGACCUGCGGGCGUAUACCUGCGGAGGGAUCAUUAAUGAAUGACAAGUCGGCCUUCUGUGCUGGUGGGUCUCCCACAUGUGCACGUCGGUCGCAAAUCCACACACCUGUGCACCUUUGACUUUGGGAUCCGCUCGUUUAUCGAGCAGCUGGUCAUUUGCUUGGCCUGGGUCUCAGAGUAAUUUUUACACACUCUGAAUGUAAUGGAAUGUCUUUUGUGCUUAACGCGCAUUA
rnacentral:misc_RNA from 1 species